UUAUUGCUUACAUCAAGCGCUACAUCAAGAACCUCACUGCCAAGCUUGAAGGUGAGGAGCUAGAUGCUUUCAAGAAGAACGUUGAGUCUGCCACGAAGUAUCUUCUUAGCAAGCUCAAGGACCUUCAGUUGUAAGUUCUCUCUUUGCCUUACUCGAAAGUGCAGGCACUGGUGUAUGUAAAACAAUGUCUCACCCUUGAUUAUCAUUGAUCUGUCCAGACACGUUAAUAUUUUAUUCUAACAUUAUGAUAAUUCCAGAUGCUGGUAAUUUAUUCUAUAGAGCUUAUCACUGACCGAAAAGCAAUUAUAUUUUGGGAAGGUAGUAAUAAUCUAUCCAUUCAACUUAGGGUACUUCUAAAACUGCUCCUAUUGACCUGUUUCAGCUUUGUGGGCGAGAGCAUGCAUGAUGAUGGCAGCGUGGUGUUUGCCUACUAC
rnacentral:lncRNA from 1 species